rnacentral:misc_RNA from 1 species
AUAUAUCAACCUUAUUAGCUUUUGCUGAUAAUGGAUUGGAUGUGGGGGUUUCUUUUGCCGGCUUCUUCACAGAGGUCAGCUCCCCUUAAAUGCAUUAGCUGGUGCCCCGCGUGGACCAUCUAUUGGUGUGAUAAUUAUCUACGCCGUGGAUGUCUGCAAUCAUAUGGGUUUUGCACUGCUUCUAACCGUCUGUUCAUUCGGACAAUACAUGACA